rnacentral:rRNA from 1 species
GACGAACCGUGCGAACGUUAUUCGGAAUCACUGGGCUUAAAGCGCGUGUAGGCGGGAGGGCACGUCCGUCGCUGAAAUCCCCCGGCUCAACCGGGGAACGGGCGCGGAUACGACCUUCCUUGAGGGGCGUAGGGGGACCUGGAACUUCCGGUGGAGCGGUGAAAUGCGUUGAGAUCGGAAGGAACGCCCGUGGCGAAAGCGACUUCCUGGACCAAUACUGACGCUCAUGUGCGAAAGCGUGGGGAGCAAACAGG